rnacentral:rRNA from 1 species
UGGGGAAUAUUGGACAAUGGGCGAAAGCCUGAUCCAGCAAUGCCGCGUGUGUGAAGAAGGUCUUCGGAUUGUAAAGCACUUUCGACGGGGACGAUGAUGACGGUACCCGUAGAAGAAGCCCCGGCUAACUUCGUGCCAU